rnacentral:rRNA from 1 species
UACGUAGGGGGCAAGCGUUGUCCGGAUUUACUGGGCGUAAAGCGCACGUAGGCGGAUCGAUCAGUCAGGGGUGAAACCUCCAGAGCUCAACUCUGGAACUGCCUUUGAUACUGUCGAUCUGGAGUAUGGAAGAGGUGAGUGGAAUUCCGAGUGUAGAGGUGAAAUUCGUAGAUAUUCGGAGGAACACCAGUGGCGAAGGCGGCUCACUGGUCCAUUACUGACGCUGAGGUGCGAAAGCGUGGGGGAGCAAACAGG